AGUUUUUGGCUCUUUUUUCAUUAUGAAAUCUUGUUGAGAGCUUCCAGUCUAUGAGAGCUAACUAGUUAGCCACUAGCAAAACGCUAAGGCGAGCUAGCAGCUUGACAACCAAAUACCAGAUGAUUAAUAGUAGCUGUAGUAUAGUUGUACAAGCAGUAGUAGUAAUACUAAAAGUACAAGCAGCAGUAGUAUAAAAUAGCUGUUAGAGUCGUAGAAGUAGUAUCAGCAUUUGUAAUAGUAUUACAAGUUGUAGUAGCAGUGCCAGUAUCAGCAGCAGUAGUGAGUAGUCACAUUGCUAUUACUACCACCAAUACUACCAAUAGUAGUUAUAAAGCCUAACUCAUGUAUAUCCAGAUUACCAUCUAUGUUCUUCCUCCAAACCCAUUUUAUGAUUGGGAUUACAGGCAGUUCUUUAGGACUGCUCUCAAAUAAUUGAAAUGUUACUAAACAAGGUUAUACUUAUCAAAUUAAAUAGCUCUGGUCUCCAGUAUAUUGGUGAAUUCGGUUCUUUGUACUUAAUUUAUUAGCAUGAUUUCUUUUUAAUAUGUUGUGUACAGACUUAAUUACUUCUCUGUCUACUUUUCUUACUCCAUGUAGGUUUCCCAGAGACUAUGGGUUGAGGAGGAAUUGGAAGUUUGUCGGCUUAGACCUGGUGUCAUUCCAUCAGUGUUAAACUUCCCGGUUCAUCUUGGAAGAGUACGUGCCAGAAAGACCACGACCAAGCAGCCUUGAGAUCUUAGGCAGCGUCUCCCUGAGGUCCCUCUCUAUCUCCCCACACAUCCACCAACCACUGGAACACAUCUCCAAAGUUCUGCCGGGCCAGCUCAGCUUCCCCUCAGAAGAAGUGCCGCCACCUGCCAGAUGAAGGAGCCUUUUGAGAGGCAGCUGGCAUCGUGAUUGGACUGUACUUUGGUCUGUUCCAAUCCAGCUUCAGCUCCAGAGACGGCAGGCGGGACGAGUCAACGGAGGCCGGGUGGACGAAGGCAUGCAGCUGAGUACAAUCCAGAAAACAACAGAGGAGGAGUGCAGCAUCCCAGGGCCAGAACAGGCAGAGUAGCAUCGUAUGUCUCUUAGAAAACAUCAUAGUAUAGCCUUUGCUAUGAAAAAACACCAUCAUAUACAUUGUAUAUUGUACAAAUAACAAGUCAAAGGAAAGAGACAUACAUUGUAGAAUUGUAGUAAUUGUGGGCUGACUGAUUUACUGAUUAUCAGUAUUUUAUUUUUUACUGAUUUACGGUAAUAAAUACAUUUAAAAAUGGU